GUAAUGCCCUUCCCUGCAGCCAACUCCAUACAGUUCAGCCCAUGAUGGAGUGGUGGUAGGAACCAGUGGCAGCAUGGUUGUCAGGAGCCCAUUCUUCCAGCAGGAGGGUGUCUAGGGUUGAGUGGUACAUCAUCUGGAUAAGUCUGGGUCUGAAGGUUGAAGACUCAUUUUCCUGCCAAUCCUCAGAUUCUAAGAAAACUAAAGGCUACUACCUACUAAAAGAGUGAAAAAUAGACUCAGUUUUGCAAAUAUUAAAAAAUGCUAAGGAAGAAAUAUACAUGGUUAGCUUAAAAACUGGAAUACCCUACUGAAGGUUUGAAAAAUGAUGUUGAUGUUCCCUGAUGGUCCAGAGAACAUUUUUUUAUAUUGAGAACCAAUAACAUCCUGACUUCAGUAUUCCCUUGACAACACCUAGUUCUUCUUAGCAAUUUAUUAUGGAGCUGGAGAAAAUUUACACUUAUUUUUGUACUAUGCAUAUUGAAUUAUGCCCGACCAGCACAACCCUUUAGAG
rnacentral:lncRNA from 1 species